rnacentral:miRNA from 2 species
UGAGCCACUGGGAUGAGGAUGAAU